rnacentral:sRNA from 1 species
GGGUGCUGCAGGAGGUCAGGGAGCUGAGAGACCUGUACAGACAGAUGGACCUGCAGACCCCGGACUCCCACCUCAGACAGACCACCCCGCACAAUAUUAAAGCCAUGACAGCAAACAGCCCCUUUCUCCUAAGGUUCCUGAUUUGAAGUGGCAAAACAAGGCAGUGGCAUAGUCUCCUGUCCUAUGUCCUUGGCAUGCAGCCUCCACCCAGCUCUGGCUGCAGAGGGCCGCACUCCGCUUGUACCGCAACUCAUGCACAGUCCAGACUUAUACAGCAGCCGGCAACCCUAAGGGCAGGAUGAUUCCGAGACACACCAAAUCUGUAUGUUGAUGUGUUGUCCCAAAUUUAUUUCUCCAGCCUAAAUUUCCCUCUCUGGCACUUGGAGCUCAGUGUCAACUUGACAUCUUUACCUGGGUAUCUAACAUGCAUCUUAAAUGUACUAUAAAUGUAAUAAAUGACUAAAUAAUGAUCCUCAGUGAACCA